rnacentral:rRNA from 1 species
AACGAACGCUGCCGGCAGGCUUAACACAUGCAAGUCGAACGCGUGUAGCAAUGCACGAGUGGCGCACGGGUGAGUAACGCGUGGAUAUCUGCCUUUUGGUUCGGAAUAACUCCGGGAAACUGGAGCUAAUACCGGAUGGUUCCUACGGGAUAAAGAUUUAUCGCCAAGAGAUGAGUCCGCGUACUAUUAGCUAGUUAGUGAGGUAAUGUCGCACCAAGGCGACGAUCGUGAGCUAGUCUGAGAGGUCGAUAAGCCACACUGGGACUGAGACACGGCCCAGACUCCUACGGGAGGCAGCAGUGGGGAAUAUUAGACAAUGGGGGCAACCCUGAUCCAGCCAUGCCGCGUGAGUGAUGAAGGCCUUCGGGUUGUAAAGCUCUUUUGGCGGGGACGAUGAUGUCGGUACCCGCAGAAUCAGCCCCGGCUAACUUCGUGCCAGCAGCCGCGGUAACAC